rnacentral:lncRNA from 1 species
GCUGUCAUCCUUCUUUCUUUGAUCUGCAUUUCGAUUGCUGGUGUUUCUGGUCAAGCACCAGCAACGUCACCAACAGCAACACCAGCACCACCCACACCAACUUCUUCUCCACCGCCAGCAACCACUCCUCCACCAGUUUCAGCCCCACCUCCUGUUACCCAAUCUCCACCUCCAGCUACCCCUCCUCCAGUUUCAGCCCCACCACCUGCCACCCCUCCUCCCGCAACCCCACCACCAGCAACUCCUCCUCCCGCCACCCCACCACCAGCAACCCCACCACCUGCUACUCCUCCACCAGCAACCCCUCCUCCCGCUGUUCCUCCACCAGCUCCAUUGGCAGCUCCACCAGCUCUUGUUCCAGCUCCAGCUCCCAGCAAGCCUAAGUUGAAGUCUCCAGCUCCAUCUCCCCUGGCAUUGAGUCCUCCAUCUCCACCAACUGGCGCUC